rnacentral:rRNA from 1 species
UUGCACGCUGGCGGCAGGCCUAACACAUGCAAGUCGAGCGGAUGAAGGGAGCUUGCUCCUGGAUUCAGCGGCGGACGGGUGAGUAAUGCCUAGGAAUCUGCCUGGUAGUGGGGGAUAACGUCCGGAAACGGGCGCUAAUACCGCAUACGUCCUGAGGGAGAAAGUGGGGGAUCUUCGGACCUCGCGCUAUCAGAUGAGCCUAGGUCGGAUUAGCUAGUUGGUGGGGUAAAGGCCUACCAAGGCGACGAUCCGUAACUGGUCUGAGAGGAUGAUCAGUCACACUGGAACUGAGACACGGUCCAGACUCCUACGGGAGGCAGCAGUGGGGAAUAUUGGACAAUGGGCGAAAGCCUGAUCCAGCCAUGCCGCGUGUGUGAAGAAGGUCUUCGGAUUGUAAAGCACUUUAAGUUGGGAGGAAGGGCAGUAAGUUAAUACCUUGCUGUUUUGACGUUACCAACAGAAUAAGCACCGGCUAACUUCGUG